rnacentral:tmRNA from 1 species
GGGGAUGUAAAGGUUUCGACGGGGAUACCGAUAAGUUGUAAGCGAGCAAGUGCGCCGGUCACUUUAAAAAACAGGCACUUAAAUUUAAACGCAAAAGAUAAUCAUUCAACUGGUUAUCGCAUGGCGUUAGCUGCUUAAGCAGUUCGUGCGAUAAUCACCGCAGCUCAAUACAGCUGCACGUCCCCUCGGGUUCACCUGCUGGUCCGAGGCUGACGUUCAUAAAAGCAGGGAUCUGUUUCAGGGAGCUGUUCCGGCUCUGAAACAAUUUAAGGAACUGGUUCAAUAAGGCCGCGCUGCCGGAGGCUUUUUUGAAUGAGAUCAUCCCGGCAGAUACGCUCGUAGAAAGCAGCGGGGACGUAUUUUCGGACGUGGGUUCGACUCCCACCAUCUCCACCA